rnacentral:rRNA from 1 species
AUUGAACGCUGGCGGCAGGCCUAACACAUGCAAGUCGAACGAGUGGCGGACGGAGUAGUAAUGUCUGGGCAUCUGCCUGAUGGAGGGGGAUAAGUACUGGACACUGUAGCCAAUACCGCAUACCAUCGGAUGUGCCCAGAUGGGAUUAGCUAGUAGGUGGGGUAAAGGCUCACCUAGGCGACGAUCCCUAGCUGGUCUGAGAGGAUGACCAGCCACACUGGAACUGAGACACGGUCCAGACUCCUACGGGAGGCAGCAGUGGGGAAUAUUGCACAAUGGGCGCAAGCCUGAUGCAGCCAUGCCGCGUGUAUGAAGAAGGCCUUCGGGUUGUAAAGUACUUUCAGCGGGGAGGCGUUACCCGCAGAAGAAGCACCGGCUAACUCCGUGCCAGCAGCCGCGGUAAUAC